rnacentral:tRNA from 2 species
GGAGGAAUACCCAAGUGGUUGAAGGGUCCGGUCUUGAAAACCGGUAGGGGCUGAAAGGCCCGCCAGGGUUCGAAUCCCUGUUCCUCCGCCA